UACAGAGGUCUCAAGCGUUGUUCGGAUUCAUUGGGCGUAAAGGGUGCGUAGGCGGCGCGGUAAGUCGGGUGUGAAAUCUUGGAGCUUAACUCCGAAACUGCAUUCGAUACUGCCGUGCUUGAGGACUGGAGGGGGGACUGGAAUUCUUGGUGUAGCAGUGAAAUGCGUAGAUAUCAAGAGGAACACCAGUGGCGAAGGCGAGUCCCUGGACAACACCUGACACUGAGGCACGAAAGCUAGGGGAGCAAACAGG
rnacentral:rRNA from 1 species